CGCGCAGGUGGUUUCUUAAGUCUGAUGUGAAAGCCCACGGCUCAACCGUGGAGGGUCAUUGGAAACUGGGAGACUUGAGUGCAGAAAAGGAUAGUGGAAUUCCAAGUGUAGCGGUGAAAUGCGUAGAGAUUUGGAGGAACACCAGUGGCGAAGGCGACUGUCUGGUCUGUAACUGACACUGAGGCGCGAAAGCGUGGGGAGCAAACA
rnacentral:rRNA from 1 species